AUCCCGUAACUCCUUUCCCCUUUAACCAACAACUAACCAAACGACGCCGCCAUCCCACCCCGUCACGUCACUUCCAUCACCUCGUCAGCAGUACCACGCCGUCGGACCGCUGGGUUAACGUGGUCAGCGACGCCACUGGCCUCAUAGGUCACCUUUUCUCCCGUCACCCAUCUCCCUUUUUCUGAAAUGGAUCUUGACGACUCGUAAAAAGGUCGAUUGAGACCUCUGAGAACGGGAAAGAGCGAAUCCACAACCAUCAAACCCAUCUGAAAAGUUCUCGGCUGAAACAACAAGCUUUUGAGUGGAUUCAGAGACUCGACGAUGACAAUAGCCUUAGUUCGCUGUCACGGAGAAGAUGCUACACUUUGGCUGUUGUAUUAGCUGGUUAUUGUUGUGAUUUUGAGCCAAGUUUUGGGCAGUUUUGAGGCUCAUUAGCUGCUGCUGUUUGGGCUGGCUGGUCUCUUUAUUUCGAGACAAUUGCUGGUGAAUUUUUUGGUCAGUUUUGAGGCCAUAAUUGCUGCAUUUUGCUCGUAGUUUUGAGGCCAUUGCUGGUGCAUUCUGCUCAGUUUAGAGGCCAUUUCUACUGCUUCGUUUAGCCCACGACUGCUGCAUCUUUUGGCUUCGACAUUUGUUGUCUUGAAACUAUUUUAGAGCAGUUUGCUAGUACUUUUGGUAUCUUGCUAAUUUUUUUUUCCAAACAAACUGUUUUAGAGCAGCUUGCUAGUACUAUUGUCUUGAUUCGUUUAUCUAGCUUUCAUUAAUUAAAGUUAUAUAGACUUCUUUUCCUUGUUGAGAAUUGUUUCUAAUCCUUAUCUUUUUUUUUCUUUUUCAUGAGGAACCUUGGGAGCAUUUGGAGUUAUGGCAACUCCGGAUUCUGCCCAUAUCAGAGAACAGCCAGUUGCAGGAUGUAAUUGCUCGUGUCUAGCGUCCCCGUCUUCCUUCUUCUCUUUAAAUUUCGUGUCUUCGUGUUAUCAUGCAUAUACAUGUUUUAUAUUCUUGACUAACUUUUUUUAUGGAUUGUAUUUGUAGCACAUUCGUUUCUCGCUUAUGUAGGAACUUAUGGAAAAUAGUUAGUAUGAUGGUAAAUUAAGUCACUACUUCUCCUCUCCCCUUGAAUAAUUAAUCUUGGCUUACGCGUGUUAGAAAUAAUAAUUGCCCUUGUUUUUUUUUUUUUUCAUCUUUUGUCUGCCAGGUUAAAGUGAUUUCCGACUAAAGGAAAUUAACCGAAAAAAUAAAAAUCUUUUAAAUACCUUUAAUCAUUUUCUCAUCACAUGCAUACGUAUGUACAUUAUAUUAUAAAUACUUA